rnacentral:rRNA from 1 species
GAAGAUUACAAGCAUAAGCUCAAAACUCAAAGGACUUGGCGGCGCUUUAAACCCAUCUAGAGGAGCCUGUCCUAUAACCGAUAAUCCCCGUUAAACCUUACCUUCUCUUGCUCCCAGCCUAUAUACCGCCGUCGUCAGCCCACCCUGUGAAGGCCCACUAGUAGGCAAAACUGGUCCAGCCCAAAACGUCAGGUCGAGGUGUAGCAUAUGAGAAGGAAAGAGAUGGGCUACAUUUCCUACACAGGGAACCACGGAUAGUACAAUGAAAUGUGUACAUUGAAGAAGGAUUUAGCAGUAAGUAAAAAAUAGAGUGUUUU